ACACUUCCGGUGGGGCGGCGGCCUGGCGGCCGUCUUGGUGGUGGCAAGAGGCCUGACCCCGGGACCAGAGAGACAGACUUUCCUGAAGCUGGAGGUUCGCGGCGCCGAUGCAAAACGGCGUCAGGGGCGAGAAAACUGUGGCAUCGCUUUUGCGUUGUAACUGUCACGAUGACGCAGAGCUGGGUAUGAAGAAAGAACCCGACCAAGCAAAUCCGAGGCACGCUGAACUGCCACUGCCGGGGUCAGAACUGCACACCUACACCACAGCUCACGGCAAUGCUGGAUCCUUAACCCACUGAGCAAGAGCCGGGAUCGAACCCGCAACCUCAUGGUUCCUAGUCGGAUUCGUUAACCACUGCGCCACGACGGGAACUCCCUCCCAUCAUGUUCUGGCAUCUUAAAGAGACUUUCUGCGAGUUCCCACUGUGGCACAGGGGUUUAAGGACAUGACAUUGCCACAGCUGUGGCUUAGGUUGCAGCUGCAGCUUGGAUGCAAUCCCUGAUCCAGGAAAUUUCCACAUGCUGAAGUUUAAAAAAACAAACGAAGGACAACAACAAAACGUUUCUGGGCAGAAGCCAGCAGUAGGUUCUCAGCUCCUGAUCAGGAAUCCAGAGUGAGGCCGCGCCUUGGCCUGCCCUCCAGGACAGCCCUGCCGGCCGGGCCGGGCCCUCCCCGCCCUGAGAUCUGCGUUUUCCUCUCAUCGCCUGGGUCCUCUCCUGUCUCCACCUCUUCUCUGACACCGGCCUCGAAAUCCUGCUGCAAGGCCAGGCCUCGAGCCCUUCCCCCGCAGCAGUGCCAGGCUGCCUUUCAGAGCUCAAGCACAGCCUGGCGCUAUCUGGCAUCCCUGGGGAUUCAAGGCCUUUAUCACCAUCCCGAAAUAAACCUAAAGCACAAAACCACAGCCUCUAGAGUUUCAGCUUUUCCUCCCGGACCCUCGAGCUGUGACUUGCUGCAGGACCGUGACAAAGGCAGCUUUCAGGAGCCUCUGAGUCAUGGCUGCAGGGGGCCGGCUGCUCACAGUGUUGAGUGUGCACGGAUCCCCUGGGAGAAGCCGACCUGCUUUUCAACCUGAAGUGGAAUCAGGUGCGGGCAGAGCGCCUGUGCGGCCCCUCACAGCAGGUGGAGCAGCUCUGCCCGAGUCCAGGGGAGGCGACAGAGCCUUCGUCUCCAGUCGUCUUUGAUCUUAAACCCAGUCGCUCCCAUGCCUGGCUCACUCUGACCUUUGUCUCCAAACUUGCCGCAUGUCCCCAGUGAGCCACCUCAGACCCUGGAGCUCCGCGCCCAUCCUGGAACCAGGUCCCUGUGUCCACAGCACACCCGACAUCCAGCCCCAGCGCACUUUUCUGGCCCACGGGAGUCAAAACUUAGGAUCCUCCAGGGUUCUCUGGUGGUCUAGUGGUUAGGACUUGGCGCUUUCACUGCGGCAGCCUGAGUUCAGUCCCUGGUUGAGAACUGAUGAGUCCCACAUCAAGCCACUGCACACUGUGGCCAAUAAAAAUGAAAAAAAAAA
rnacentral:lncRNA from 1 species